AGUGAACGCUGGCGGUAAGCCUAACACAUGCAAGUCGAACGGCAGCACAGGAGAGCUUGCUCUCUGGGUGGCGAGUGGCGGACGGGUGAGGAAUACAUCGGAAUCUACCUUUUCGUGGGGGAUAACGUAGGGAAACUUACGCUAAUACCGCAUACGACCUACGGGUGAAAGUGGGGGACCGCAAGGCCUCACGCGAUUAGAUGAGCCGAUGUCCGAUUAGCUAGUUGGCGGGGUAAUGGCCCACCAAGGCGACGAUCGGUAGCUGGUCUGAGAGGAUGAUCAGCCACACUGGAACUGAGACACGGUCCAGACUCCUACGGGAGGCAGCAGUGGGGAAUAUUGGACAAUGGGCGCAAGCCUGAUCCAGCCAUACCGCGUGGGUGAAGAAGGCCUUCGGGUUGUAAAGCCCUUUUGUUGGGAAAGAAAUCCUGUCGAUUAAUACUCGGUGGGGAUGACGGUACCCAGAGAAUAAGCACCGGCUAACUUCGUGCCAGCCGCCGCGGUAAGAC
rnacentral:rRNA from 1 species